rnacentral:rRNA from 1 species
GAAUAUUGCACAAUGGGCGCAAGCCUGAUGCAGCCAUGCCGCGUGUAUGAAGAAGGCCUUCGGGUUGUAAAGUACUUUCAGCGAGGAGGAAGGCAUUGUGGUUAAUAACCGCAGUGAUUGACGGUACUCGCCGAAGAAGCCCCGGCUAACUCCGUGCCAGCCGCCGCGGUAAUACGGCGGGUGCAAGCGUUAAUCGGAAUUACUGGGCGUAAAGCGCACGCAGGCGGUCUGUCAAGUCGGAUGUGAAAUCCCCGGGCUCAACCUGGGAACUGCAUUCGAAACUGGCAGGCUAGAGUCUUGUAGAGGGGGGUAGAAUUCCAGGUGUAGCGGUGAAAUGCGUAGAGAUCUGGAGGAAUACCGGUGGCGAGGGCGGCCCCCUGGACAAAGACUGACGCUCAGGUGCGAAAGCGUGGGGAGCAAACAGG